UACGGGGGGGGCAAGCGUUGUUCGGAAUUACUGGGCGUAAAGGGCGCGUAGGCGGCCUUCUAAGUCAGGGGUGAAAUCCUGGAGCUCAACUCCAGAACUGCCUUUGAUACUGAAGAUCUUGAGUUCGGGAGAGGUGAGUGGAACUGCGAGUGUAGAGGUGAAAUUCGUAGAUAUUCGCAAGAACACCAGUGGCGAAGGCGGCUCACUGGCCCGAUACUGACGCUGAGGCACGAAAGCGUGGGGAGCAAACGGG
rnacentral:rRNA from 1 species